rnacentral:rRNA from 1 species
GAUGAACGCUGGCGGCGUGCUUAACACAUGCAAGUCGAACGAUGAAGCCCAGCUUGCUGGGUGGAUUAGUGACGAACGGGUGAGUAACACGUGAGUAACCUGCCCUUGACUCUGGGAUAAGCCUGGGAAACUGGGUCUAAUACUGGAUAUGACUUCUCAUCGCAUGGUGGGGGGUGGAAAGAUUUAUUGGUCUUGGAUGGACUCGCGGCCUAUCAGCUUGUUGGUGAGGUAAUGGCUCACCAAGGCGACGACGGGUAGCCGGCCUGAGAGGGUGACCGGCCACACUGGGACUGAGACACGGCCCAGACUCCUACGGGAGGCAGCAGUGGGGAAUAUUGCACAAUGGGCGCAAGCCUGAUGCAGCGACGCCGCGUGAGGGAUGACGGCCUUCGGGUUGUAAACCUCUUUCAGUAGGGAAGAAGCGAGAGUGACGGUACCUGCAGAAGAAGCGCCGGCUAACUACGUG